rnacentral:sRNA from 1 species
UUCGUAUCUGCGCCCGGAAGGGUUCGAACCUCCGACCCAUAAACGAGAGGUUCGACAAGCGGUCGCAGGCCGCGCAGAACGCUGCCGCUUGCGGCAGCGGCCCGGAGGGCGAGCGCAAGCGAGUAAUCCUUCCGGGCGCGCCA